rnacentral:rRNA from 1 species
UACGAAGGGGGCGAGCGUUGUUCGGAAUCACUGGGCGUAAAGGGCGCGUAGGCGGCCCUCCUAGUCGCGUGUGAAAGCCCCGGGCUCAACCUGGGAACGGCGCGCGAAACGGGGGGGCUGGAGUUCGGGAGAGGAGCGUGGAAUUCCCAGUGUAGAGGUGAAAUUCGUAGAUAUUGGGAGGAACACCAGUGGCGAAGGCGGCUCACUGGACCGGUACUGACGCUGAUGCGCGAAAGCGUGGGGAGCAAACGGG